rnacentral:rRNA from 1 species
UACAGAGGUGGCAAGCGUUGUUCGGAAUUACUGGGCGUAAAGGGCGCGUAGGCGGCCUCGCAAGUCCCGUGUGAAAUCCCUCGGCUCAACUGAGGAAUGGCACGGGAAACUGCGGGGCUUGAGUUCGGGAGAGGGGAAGCGGAAUUCCGGGUGGUAGCGGUGAAAUGCGUAGAUAUCCGGAGGAACACCGGUGGCGAAGGCGGCUUCCUGGACCGAUACUGACGCUGAGGCGCGAAAGCGUGGGUAGCAAACAGG